AUAUACACACAGAUACAUGGACAGAUACACAUUCAGAUACACACAUACACACACAUUCAGAUGCACACUCACGUAGACACACACACAGACACACAGGUCCUGAGCCUCCCUGCGCCCUCCCUUGUGCGGAGGCAGAGGGGCUGGCUGUCCGGGCAGGCACCUGGGGAGGACACGUGGCCCCGUCAGAGACCAGGGCGUGGCUCUGAGGACACUUUGCUUCCACAGGGGCUGGAGCUCCGGUUGGGCCACGCCUUCACAGGCCUUGAAGUUGGGACAGACCCUGUAACGCAAGACAGAUAAGAGGAGAAAAACAAACAGAAGCUUAACAGCAUGUGCACCUUGGUCUGCACGGGACGUACUCAGGGGACAGACUAUGUCUCAGAGACAUGCCUUGGAGCUCAGGCUUAAAUACCACGUUCAACGGAAACAAAGAGAAAGGGUGUGGGGAGGGGCCCAAGAAAUCACCCCAAACUGGGGUCAGGCCUUCUCCGUGGAUGGGCAUCUCUGGUGACUUCAGCCGGCCUUCCGGCUCAGGGAGGGAGGCACCUCCUGUACGAAUGUGACUUUCUCACAGAAGAGCAGCUUCCACGCUUGCUUGCAGAGUUUCUCCUGUGGCUGCAGUUUCUCAAAAUAAGCAGCUCAAAAUAAUGCUUAUGCCAAAGAGGCAUAUUUUGGGGUGGCAUAUUCUGGUCCGCUCUACGUGGAAGCGAACGGAAAAAUGGGGCAGAGGCUGGGGAGGGGAGUAGGACCGGCUUCCAGUUCCCAGACCCGAGGGAGGGAACCUGAGGCUGAGCUCUGGACUUUGGGGUCUGGAAGGGGUUCUCUGAGGACACACAGGAAGUGGGGGAAACAGCUGCCCCCUCAGGUUUCCCCCAAGGGAUCCUGCCUGGGGAGACCUGGACUGGGCGAGGCUUGGCAGCUGCCCUGCGAGAAGGAGGGAGACAGGGCCUCAGUGGGAGUGCGGGGUUGCUGGGGUCCCACCUGGGGGUGCUGGGAGUGGCCAGAGGACACACGGCGAUUUCCCAAUGGGCCAGGAAGGCAGGCAGAGCAUGACCCCGCACAGAGGCAGAGGCGGAGUCUCCGAGUGUCCCUGUCGGGUCCCUGGGGCUGUGGCAGGAGAAGAAGCCGCAGUACCUCCUGCCCUUUAACACAGGAGAGGCGGUCGUCCCGGCGUUGCCCAGCAGCUGGUCGGAGCCCAGGACUCCUCAGAGGAGCCAACGCCUGAGCCCUGAGCGGCCAGCUGGCCUGGCUGACCCGGGAGAAGGAGGCCGCUGUGCAUAAGUAGCGAGGUGUGAGAGGAAGCGCAGAGCCGUGCCGCUCGGGUAAGAAGGGGAGAGAAGGAAGCCUGUCUGAAUGGCUGCGCAGGGGAUGUUGGAAGAGAACUGAAGGAACUCACGCAGCGCUCGUCUGUGAAGGGUGCACCACAAUGUAUGGACAAGGGUGGGAGAGAGACGCUGGGCCACAAAGUUUGGGGUGUGUGAUGGCGUGGAGGAGAAAGCCUCCUGGGGGCUGUGGCCAGAGGGGUGGGUUUUAUGUGCCUCCCACCUCCUGCCAGGGGCCCCCCACGACUCCCUGAGGCCCCAUCAGCAACAGGAUGGCAGGUUUUCCUUCCCACGUGGAUGGGGGACCUCCCAGCCUCCUGGAUGCCCUCCUGGGAUGGGACGGGGGGAGCACCACCUGUGCCUCUACUCACGCCUGGCCUGGAGUGGCCCAGCGGAGGGUCCGGGUGGGGGCGCUGGAGGGGCCCUCACAGCUCAGGCCUGGCACCUGCACCUUUCUGGAUCCCACGAUGUUUUGCUAAGGAUUACUCAUCCAAGACCUACCCAGAGGCUCUGGAGCUGUUUACCACAGGCCAGCUCUGGCCGCAGGCUAUUCUGGGAGCCUGGGGGGGGCUGGGGCACUGGGUGGCAGGAGGAGGAGGGCCGUCUCGUCCUUACUGAGCGUCCAGCGAGCGUCAGAUGCUGCACUGCAUGCAGUUCUAAUCCUGGCCUGGCGAAGCCAGAGCAGGACAAUAUUCCUCCGUCCCCAGGCCUCCCGCGUGGCUGCAGGUGCUGACAGGGAAUGGGCCUGGCUAUCGAGGCUCACAGGGGAGCUGGGAGAGCCGCUAGCAGGAGAAAUGAGAACUCGGCAUCUGCUGGGCUGGGUUCGAGGGACACGGGGUGGCUGGGGAGGGUGGCCGGCCGGCGAGUCCGCCCCGACGCUGGACUCCUGGGCUAUCCAUUCGCCAUCCACAGUCUGAGGGUCUCUGAAAAGAUAACUCAUUUGUUUUCAUUAAACGCAACAGAUCAAGAAGCUGAAAACGCAAGAAUAAAACAGUGUAAAUCUUGA